GUCGAGCGGUAGCACAGAGAGCUUGCUCUCGGGUGACGAGCGGCGGACGGGUGAGUAAUGUCUGGGAAACUGCCUGAUGGAGGGGGAUAACUACUGGAAACGGUAGCUAAUACCGCAUAACGUCGCAAGACCAAAGUGGGGGACCUUCGGGCCUCAUGCCAUCAGAUGUGCCCAGAUGGGAUUAGCUAGUAGGUGGGGUAACGGCUCACCUAGGCGACGAUCCCUAGCUGGUCUGAGAGGAUGACCAGCCACACUGGAACUGAGACACGGUCCAGACUCCUACGGGAGGCAGCAGUGGGGAAUAUUGCACAAUGGGCGCAAGCCUGAUGCAGCCAUGCCGCGUGUGUGAAGAAGGCCUUCGGGUUGUAAAGCACUUUCAGCGGGGAGGAAGGCGGUGAGGUUAAUAACCUUGUCGAUUGACGUUACCCGCAGAAGAAGCACCGGCUAACUCCGUGCCAGCAGCCGCGGUAAUACGGAGGGUGCAAGCGUUAAUCGGAAUUACUGGGCGUAAAGCGCACGCAGGCGGUCUGUCAAGUCGGAUGUGAAAUCCCCGGGCUCAACCUGGGAACUGCAUUCGAAACUGGCAGGCUAGAGUCUUGUAGAGGGGGGUAGAAUUCCAGGUGUAGCGGUGAAAUGCGUAGAGAUCUGGAGGAAUACCGGUGGCGAAGGCGGCCCCCUGGACAAAGACUGACGCUCAGGUGCGAAAGCGUGGGGAGCAAACAGGAUUAGAUACCCUGGUAGUCCACGCCGUAAACGAUGUCGAUUUGGAGGUUGUGCCCUUGAGGCGUGGCUUCCGGAGCUAACGCGUUAAAUCGACCGCCUGGGGAGUACGGCCGCAAGGUUAAAACUCAAAUGAAUUGACGGGGGCCCGCACAAGCGGUGGAGCAUGUGGUUUAAUUCGAUGCAACGCGAAGAACCUUACCUGGUCUUGACAUCCACAGAACUUUCCAGAGAUGGAUUGGUGCCUUCGGGAACUGUGAGACAGGUGCUGCAUGGCUGUCGUCAGCUCGUGUUGUGAAAUGUUGGGUUAAGUCCCGCAACGAGCGCAACCCUUAUCCUUUGUUGCCAGCGGUUCGGCCGGGAACUCAAAGGAGACUGCCAGUGAUAAACUGGAGGAAGGUGGGGAUGACGUCAAGUCAUCAUGGCCCUUACGACCAGGGCUACACACGUGCUACAAUGGCAUAUACAAAGAGAAGCGACCUCGCGAGAGCAAGCGGACCUCAUAAAGUAUGUCGUAGUCCGGAUUGGAGUCUGCAACUCGACUCCAUGAAGUCGGAAUCGCUAGUAAUCGUAGAUCAGAAUGCUACGGUGAAUACGUUCCCGGGCCUUGUACACACCGCCCGUCACACCAUGGGAGUGGGUUGCAAAAGAAGUAGGUAGCUUAACCUUCGGGAGGGCGCUUACCAC
rnacentral:rRNA from 1 species